UAAAGUUAUGAGUCUUCAUUCCCGAUAGGAUUCACUAGCUCUAGUGAAGAUGCCUUGUAACCGAAAAACGAAUUGGGGGAAUUUUUUAUG
rnacentral:sRNA from 2 species